rnacentral:pre_miRNA from 1 species
UGGAAGACAGGAGAUUGCGUCGUCGCUUGUUCACUCGCUGCAAUCCCCGUCUAUCCGAU